rnacentral:rRNA from 1 species
GAUGAACGCUGGCGGCGUGCCUAAUACAUGCAAGUCGAGCGAACAGACGAGGAGCUUGCUCCUCUGACGUUAGCGGCGGACGGGUGAGUAACACGUGGAUAACCUACCUAUAAGACUGGGAUAACUUCGGGAAACCGGAGCUAAUACCGGAUAAUAUAUUGAACCGCAUGGUUCAAUAGUGAAAGACGGUUUUGCUGUCACUUAUAGAUGGAUCCGCGCCGCAUUAGCUAGUUGGUAAGGUAACGGCUUACCACGGCAACGAUGCGUAGCCGACCUGAGAGGGUGAUCGGCCAGACUGGAACUGAGACACGGUCCAGACUCCUACGGGAGGCAGCAGUAGGGAAUCUUCCGCAAUGGGCGAAAGCCUGACAUAGCAACGCCGCGUGAAUGAUGAAGGUCUUCGGAUCGUAAAACUCUGUUAUUAGGGAAGAACAAAUGUGUAAGUAACUAUGCACGUCUUGACGGUACCUAAGCAGAAAGCCACGGCUAACUACGUG